AGAACAAAUCAGAAGCCUUACAGCUUGUGGGAAGCUGGCUCAGACACUCAGAGCUGAUCGAGAAGAGUGAUAGAUGGCUGUGUGGCAUCCAUGAAGCUGCAACUCCCAGCUUUCUCCAAGGGAGCUCGAGAGAAGCAGCCCACCCAGUCACAUUUCUCCUCCAAGGCUGCUUCGUGGAAGAACAGCUGAAUGUGCAAGUUCAGAGCAGGAGGGGUGUGGUCAGAAUGAGGUCACACAAACAAUGCCUCUAAGGAAUGGAACGCUUCCCGAACAAAAAGUUAUCCCUGCUGAUCUCCUGGAGCGCUGCAACACAGGGACCACUGCUCAGAAACUCACAAAUGACCUG